GAUCAUGGCUCAGGAUGAACGCUGGCGGCGUGCUUAACACAUGCAAGUUGAACGAAGCACCUUGAUUUGAUUCUUCGGAUGAAAAUCCUGGUGACUGAGUGGCGGACGGGUGAGUAACGCGUGGGUAACCUGCCUCAUACAGGGGGAUAACAGUUAGAAAUGACUGCUAAUACCGCAUAAGACCACAGCACCGCAUGGUGCAGGGGUAAAAACUCCGGCGGUAUGAGAUGGACCCG
rnacentral:rRNA from 1 species